CCUACGUGUGGCUGCAGUGGGGAAUAUUGGACAAUGGGCGAAAACCUGAUCCAGCCAUGCCGCGUGUGUGAAGAAGGCCUUCGGGUUGUAAAGCACUUUCAGUGGGGAAGAAAGCCUUGGGGCUAAUACCCUCGAGGAAGGACAUCACCCACAGAAGAAGCACCGGCUAACUCCGUGCCAGCAGCCGCGGUAAUACGGAGGGUGCGAGCGUUAAUCGGAAUUACUGGGCGUAAAGCGCGCGUAGGCGGUCUGAUAAGCCGGUUGUGAAAGCCCCGGGCUCAACCUGGGAACGGCAUCCGGAACUGUCAGGCUAGAGUGCAGGAGAGGAAGGUAGAAUUCCCGGUGUAGCAGUGAAAUGCGUAGAGAUCGGGAGGAAUACCAGUGGCGAAGGCGGCCUUCUGGACUGACACUGACGCUGAGGUGCGAAAGCGUGGGUAGCAAACAGGAUUAGAUACCCUGGUAGUC
rnacentral:rRNA from 1 species